AACGAACGCUGGCGGCAUGCCUAACACAUGCAAGUCGAACGAGACCUUCGGGUCUAGUGGCGCACGGGUGCGUAACGCGUGGGAACCUGCCCUUAGGUUCGGAAUAACUCCCCGAAGGGGGUCCUAAUACCGGUUAAGGUCUUCGGACCAAAGAUUUAUCGCCUUUGGAUGGGCCCGCGUUGGAUUAGCUAGUUGGUAGGGUAAAAGCCUACCAAGGCGACGAUCCAUAGCUGGUCUGAGAGGAUGAUCAGCCACACUGGGACUGAGACACGGCCCAGACUCCUACGGGAGGCAGCAGUGGGGAAUAUUGGACAAUGGGCGAAAGCCUGAUCCAGCAAUGCCGCGUGAGUGAUGAAGGCCUUAGGGUUGUAAAGCUCUUUUACCCGGGAUGAUAAUGACAGUACCGGGAGAAUAAGCGCCGGCUAACUCCGUG
rnacentral:rRNA from 1 species